rnacentral:rRNA from 1 species
AGACCCGAAACCCGGUGAUCUAGCCAUGGGCAGGUUGAAGGUUGGGUAACACUAACUGGAGGACCGAACCGACUAAUGUUGAAAAAUUAGCGGAUGACCUGUGGCUGGGGGUGAAAGGCCAAUCAAACCGGGAGAUAGCUGGUUCUCCCCGAAAGCUAUUUAGGUAGCGCCUCGUGAAUUCAUCUCCGGGGGUAGAGCACUGUUUCGGCUAGGGGGCCAUCCCGGCUUACCAACCCGAUGCAAACUGCGAAUACCGGAGAAUGUUAUCACGGGAGACACACGGCGGGUGCUAACGUCCGUCGUGAAGAGGGAAACAACCCAGACCGCCAGCUAAGGUCCCAAAGUCAUGGUUAAGUGGGAAACGAUGUGGGAAGGCCCAGACAGCCAGGAUGUUGGCUUAGAAGCAGCCAUCAUUUAAAGAAAGCGUAAUAGCUCACUGGUCGAGUCGGCCUGCGCGGAAGAUGUAACGGGGCUAAACCAUGCACCGAAGCUGCGGCAGCGACGCUUAUGCGUUGUUGGGUAGGGGAGCGUUCUGUAAGCCUGCGAAGGUGGCCUGUGAGGGUUGCUGGAGGUAUCAGAAGUGCGAAUGCUGACAUAAGUAACGAUAAAGCGGGUGAAAAGCCCGCUCGCCGGAAGACCAAGGGUUCCUGUCCAACGUUAAUCGGGGCAGGGUGAGUCGACCCCUAAGGCGAGGCCGAAAGGCGUAGUCGAUGGGAAACGGGUUAAUAUUCCCGUACUUGGUGUUACUGCGAAGGGGGGACGGAGAAGGCUAUGUUGGCCGGGCGACGGUUGUCCCGGUUUAAGCGUGUAGGUGUGUGUUCCAGGUAAA